GAUGAAGAACGUAGCGAAAUGCGAUAAGUAAUGUGAAUUGCAGAAUUCAGUGAAUCAUCGAAUCUUUGAACGCACAUUGCGCCCCCUGGUAUUCCGGGGGGCAUGCCUGUCCGAGCGUCAUUGCUGCCCUCAAGCACGGCUUGUGUGUUGGGCCUCCGUCCUCCUCCCGGGGGACGGGCCCGAAAGGCAGCGGCGGCACCGCGUCCGGUCCUCGAGCGUAUGGGGCUUCGUCACCCGCUCUUGUAGGCCCGGCCGGCGCUUGCCGACACAUCAAUCUUUUUUCCAGGUUGACCUCGGAUCAGGUAGGGAUACCCGCUGAACUUAAGCAUAUCAUAACGGAGGA
rnacentral:misc_RNA from 1 species